rnacentral:rRNA from 1 species
GACGAACGCUGGCGGCGUGCUUAACACAUGCAAGUCGAACGGUGAAGCGCCUUCCUUUUUGGUGGGUGUGGAUGAGUGGCGAACGGGUGAGUAACACGUGAGUAACCUGCCCCCUUCUUCUGGAUAACCGCAUGAAAGUGUGGCUAAUACGGGAUAUUCUGGGUCUGUCGCAUGAUGGGUCUGGGAAAGAUAUUGUUUCGGUGGGGGAUGGGCUCGCGGCCUAUCAGCUUGUUGGUGGGGUGAUGGCCUACCAAGGCGGUGACGGGUAGCCGGCCUGAGAGGGUGGACGGUCACACUGGGACUGAGACACGGCCCAGACUCCUACGGGAGGCAGCAGUGGGGAAUAUUGCACAAUGGGCGAAAGCCUGAUGCAGCGGCGCCGCGGGAGGGAUGGAGGCCUUCGGGUUGUGAACCUCUUUCGCCAGUGAAGCAGGCCUGCCUCGUUUGUGGGUGGGUUGACGGUAGCUGGAUAAGAAGCGCCGGCUAACUACGUG